rnacentral:rRNA from 1 species
AUUGAACGCUGGCGGCAUGCCUAAUACAUGCAAGUCGAACGAGUGGCGGACGGGUGAGUAAUUUCUUGGAAACUGCCCGAUGGAGGGGGCUAACGACUGGAACCGGUAGCUAAUACCGCAUACCAUCGGAUGUGCCCAGAGGGGAUUAGCUAGUGGGUGGGGUAACGCCUCACCUAGGCGACGAUCCCUAGCUGGUCUGAGAGGCUGACCAGCCACACUGGAACUGAGACACGGCCCAGACUCCUACGGGAGGCAGCAGUGGGGAAUAUUGGACAAUGGGCGAAAGCCUGACACAGCAACGCCGCGUGUAUGAAGAAGGCUUUCGGGUUGUAAAGCACUGUCAGCGGGGAGGCGUUACUCGCAGAAGAAGCAACGGCUAACUCCGUGCCAGCAGCCGCGGUAAUAC